rnacentral:lncRNA from 1 species
UAUUAACAAAUAAAAAAAAAGGAAAAAAGAAAAAGCUAUCAUUUUUCUCUCCCCCUUCACCGAAAUAUGCAGCAAAGAAAGGGUUUUGAAGCUGGAAAAUUUCAGCAACAUAUUUUCCUUGCUUGUAAGUGAUUUUAAUGUCUUUGCUUGAUGAUUUUUGUAUUUUUGGAACCCCUAAAGCAUAAGCUUUCAUAAGAGGGAAUUAUUUUGCAAAAUGAUGAAGAGUCUAGGGUUUUACCAUGAGAGUAAAUGUGUUGUUUGCUGUGUUUUUAUGGAAUAUUAUGAGUCCUAGUUGUCUAAUAAACAACUUUUGUGAAAGAAAUUGCAUGAAAAUACCUUUAAAAGGGCUAAAUUGCUAAGUUGUAAAAUGAGUUGUAAAUGUGUAAAAUAGUUGAAAUUAUGAGUUGCUAUAGUUAUGAAAAUGGUUCAUCUAGACUCAAGGAGUAAAGAAAUGUGAUAAAAAUUAAUUUACGAGCAUUGGGGCAAAAGUAUAAAUAUGCAAAAGUUUAGGGGUCAAAAUGAAAAUUUGUAAAAAUAUGAUUUUUAGACCCAUAUGAAUAUUGUGACUGAUUGGUAGGCUAAAUGUGAUGUUAUAGAUGAUGAAAAUUGAGACUUGGACCUAGAACGGAAAGAAAUCGAUUUAUGGACGAGUAUGUCCUUUUCACCUUUGUGGCAUCGAGGUAAGUUCGUAUGUAAACAAUACCAUGCUAUACAUGUAUUUAAAUGUUAUCAUUACAUGAAUUGUACAGAUAUUAAGGUGUAUGUGAUUAAUAGAAAUAUGAUAAGACAAAGCCUUAAUAGACGAGGAAAAAUCCCGUUUGAACCUUAGGAAUAGAAUAGGAUACGAGUGACAUGUCACUAGGAAUUAUGAGUCUAUAUGACUAGCUCGAGAGUGAGCAUUGAAAUGUAAUGAGAUAUGAGGUAGAUUUAGCUACAAUUGAGGCACUUAUGUGCAAAGGCUUUUCCGAGUAUCCAAUUAGUAUUCCAAGUGUUCAACGGGCAAUCCAAGGAAAGAGUUGAUGAUGGUCCCAAUGAGGUAAGUCAUUGGUGAGUAUGCACUCGAGUUAUGUUACGAGUUGUGCAAGUAUGUAUACUAAUCCUAUGAGAAUGCCUUGAUAUGUGAUGAUCUAUGAUACAUAAUAUGUGUUCUUACCAUGAUGGAUAAAAUGGUGUUGUAUUAAUAUUAUGAACGAUGACCAUGAAUGAGUAACUUAGCCUUAACAGAUUUGAGUUAUUGCAGUAGUGUAACUUUGAAAAUACACUAAAAAUAGUGGAAAAUGAGUUAGAGGUAGAAUAAAAUAUGGGAUUAAAGAUUAAUGAGUCUAUUUUCACAUGAAACAAAUAGAGGAAGAAAAAUAAUUCUAUAUUGUGUGAUAUUUAAAUUCUUGUGAAACAGGGUCUGAAUGAAUUUGAGAUCCCCUGUUUUGAUUUUAUAAAUUCGCCGUAAAUUGUACAAAAAUUAUUAAGAGUCAUAACUUACCUGCAUAGAUUCCUUAUUGAGUCUAUUUUUAAGGGAAACAAACAGCAUGGUCAUUGGAAUUCUGUACAUGGAGAAAUUUGAUUCGUAGUACACAGGGGUCAGAGUAGUCAUACCCUGAAAAAAGGGAAAAUUUAACUAAUAAAAUGUACUAAAUGGAUUUACCAAAAAUUCUAGAAAAAUAUUAGUAAGUAGAAAUAUGAGUCUAGUUUCAAGAGAAAUAGACGAGAACAUUAUUCGAAUCCUGUACUAUGAGAUAAUUGAACUUUAGUGCAGAAGGGUUGAAAUUAUCAGACAGUGAAUCAGGAGCAAACUUGAGGAAUAAAAUGUACUAAUUGGCUAAUUCAAAAAUUCUGGAAAUUUUAUGAAAGAAAGAUAAAUGAGUCUAGUUUCAGGUAAAAUUAACGGAACUUAAUUUUGAGUUUUGUAGCUCCAGAUAUAAAUAAUUUAGUGACUGUUGAGCAGGAAGACAGCUUGUAGUGAACUUGAGAAUAUGUUGUAAACAUUGAUAAAACAAGUUAAUGAGUUGCUUAUUGUUUUCAUAUGAACUUACUAAGCGAAAGCUUACCCCCCUUCUUUCCCAUGUUUUCUAGAGUUUCCAGGUUAGCUCGGGUUGGAGGCCGUCAGAGAUAUUAUCACCCUAUCGAGUUAACGUUAUCUGAGUAAGUAAACUCAAGUGAUUCGAGUCUAUGGCAUGUAUAGGGUUUUAAUGUGAGUAUGUAAUAUUAUGAUUUAGCCAAAGGCAUUGGCUUGUUAUUAAGGUAGUAUUAGUCAUGUAAAUUGGCCUAUGUUGGCUAAUGACGUUAUGGGCCUAUAUGAUUAUUCUUAUGCAUGUAUAUUAUUAUCUCUUGUGAUGUGGCUUACAACAUGUAUGCCUGGAGAUUGAAUUGAGAUUCAUUGAUGAGCUAGUAACUAAUGCAGGAUUAAGUGAUUGGUAAAUAGUUAAUAAUGCUUCAUGAAUGGUUUGUGAUGUAAUGAUAGUUAUGUCUAGUAUGUGGUAAUGAUAUGGGCAAAUUCUAUAAUAUUUAUUGCAUAAGAAAAUAACUUGAGCAUAACAUGUUUGUAGAUGUUUAAGAGCUCAUUUAUGCCACGUUGUAUUUUAUUGGAUAAGUAUGUAUCUAUGCAUGUGGUGUGAGAGUGACAAAAGGCUUGAUAAUUAGCCUAUUUCUGGCCACACGGCCUGAGCACAUGGGCGUGUGAAGCCUUAACGCAAGAGAUUUUUCUAAGUUUUUCAUGAGUUUUCGAUUGGGUCCCGAACCGCCCCGAAUGCAUGUAUUGGGCCUCGUAAGCUCGCAUAAGGGACAAAUUACAUGUGAAAAGAAAAGUUUUUAAUUAUUUGAGAUUUUAUGGCCCUAUUUAGUAUGAAAAUGUUAGUAAAAGUCAGGUAGCACCUCGAACCCCGUCCCGGCGUCGGAUGCAGGCGAGAGGUGUUACAUUUAGUGGUAUCAGAGCAUGGUUUAGUCGGUUCUCAGACUAACCUAGCGUAAGAGAGUCUAGCUAUACAUGCCAUAGUAUUACUCGUGAUAGUGUGAUAUCUCUCGGCCCUAACAAAACUGUUGAUUAAGACAGGAAUGAGUUCCAACCGAGCAAAUCUUGAUAGAGAUAAGAGUAAAGUUGAGAUUAUUGAAUCAUGCUUAUGAUAUGCUGAAAAUUGGGAAAGGUAUGAAAAGAAAUCCAUGAUUUUUUUUAUAUGAACUAGUUUUCAUUAUGUGAUACUCUUUAGAUAAAGAAUGUGAAAUAGUGGAGUAAAACACAGUUAAGUUGUGAAAAAACGCUUUUAUGCAUGUUAGUAUUCAUACGAUGUUAAAUGUCCAACUUGAUUUGGCCAAGUGUUUAGGAAAAGAAAGAAAUUUGCUUGAAAUGACAGAAUGUAUGUAUGAAUGCUUUUAUUGCAUGAUUAAUAAUUAGUAUAUACAUGAGGUUGACAUUUAUGUCUAGAUUGAUGAAGUCAAGAUGCAGUAAUGUUAUGCUUUAUAAUCUCAGUUACAGAAUCAUAAAUGUCACAAUAGCAUGAAAGUUGUAAUGAAAGAUCAAAUUGGGUGGAACGCAGGGAAUGAGUACGAUCGUUCACUAAUGAAUUGACGGAAAAGACCAUUGUUGGACCAUGGCAAUACAUGAGAUUUGUAUGCCAGUGUAAGACCAUGUAUGGGACAUGGCAUCGGCAUUGAGACAAGGGCUAGUGUAAGACAUGUUUGGGACAUGCAUCAGCCACAGUAUGAGAUCCAGUGUAAGACAUGUCUGGGACAUGCAUCGGCCUCGAGAUGUUAGCCAAUGUCAGACAUGUCUGGGACAUGCGUUGGCUACGGGAUGUGCUAGUGUAAGACAUGUCUGGGACAUGCGUCAGCACGGUUACAUGUGUCAGUGUAAGACCUGUCUGGGACAUGGCAUCGGCACAGAUGGACGAGAGCUAGUACAAGACCAUAGUUGAACUAUGGCAUCAAGUAGCGAUGUACUCAAAAACCAUAAGACGUUCUCCAAUUUGAUAAAUAUUGGCAAGUGAUUAAGACUAAAUAUGGAAAUUUGAUAAAACAUUAAGGGUAAUUUGAGAAAAAGAAAUGAAAGUUUGAGUUAUGAUAAAUUCACUUAUGUUUAGCUAAUAUUCGCACGAAAUAAAGUUGCAUGUAUUACUGAGAUAUGUGAAAAUGUGUUCAUAACAAGUUGGAAAUUUGAAAUGUUUGAAUUGAUGUGUGUAAUGCUAUGUUGUUGUUGAAUAUGUAUUUGCUUGAGAGUCAAAAGUUUAGAGGCUUUACAAUCUUCGCCCCCUUACUAGAAUAGAGUUAUACGAUGAGAUUUUCGAGAGAUAUGUUGCAUAUGCUUGCAAAAGUGAAACUGAAGAGUACAAUAAUGGAAUAGUAUGAGAUUAGCGAAGACAGAAUUAGUUAGAGGAAUAAUGUCGGACUUGCACAGAUGUCUGAAUAUGACGGAUUCAAUUAAAUAAAGUGAUGGCUAUCUUUCUCUUCUGAGUAUUCUAUGUUUUCCUCUAUUCUGGGGAAUACGUAUGGUUAUCCCUUUCGAAUGGAAAUUCUAUCGUAUGAAGAUGCUAGUGACUAUGAUAUUAGAUGAAAAGUUCUAUUGGUCCAGUUAGUUAUGAUCGACAUUUCCCCAUCUCUUCAGAUUUCUAUUCUGAUAUACUGGAAUGAAGUUGAUAGUAAAAAUCUAUAUGAGAUUAUUCUGAUGUUCUAUUGAUUAUGGUUUAUAUAUAUUGGAGAAUUAUAUUAUCUCUGUUACGAGAAAUUCUAGAGCGUACAGACAGUAGUUUCCUUCUGGUUUUCUCUGAGGGAUUUUCUGGAUCAUAUUUAUUAUUUUCUUCUGGAUUAUAUUCUCGGAUUUCUGGUAUAGUCUUUAUAUCUUGGAAUUUCUUAUAUUGGCUUUUCUCUCGUUCUUGUUUCAAGAAUUAUCAAGCUUGGCUUAUCUUUACGAGUAAUCUUUGACUUGCGAUAUUAGAAUCUGUUAUGAUUAAGCUUCUGGCUCGACCAUAGAAGUGUGAGGAUUUCAGUGUCGAGAUUUCUUUAAAAUUCCUGGGGUAAAGAAUGGUUAUUCUGCAAAAGUAAAUCUGAGUUAUGUGCAUUUAAGUUUAUUCUCUGGUUCGAGAAUACCGUUACGUGUUCUUUGGUAAGUAGUCGUACAGUCAGAAAUGAUGGGGUUUUAUUCUUGAAAGUAUGUUAUGGAAACAUAUUAGUUGGAUUUCUCUUGUUCGAGAGAUGUUAUAAGUAUAGUUAUCCUGAUUAAUAAAAAGACCACAUCUAUGAAGUUGGAAUCAUUUGAUUCAUGUUAGUAAAGUUUCUAAACAGUUGAUGAUCAGAGUAUAGAAAUGUGGCUAUAAGUGGUAAAUUGAACAAGUACAGCAUGAUUCGACUUUUAAUUUGGAAUUGCAGGGAGGAUUUGAUUUCUGGUUUCUAUUACUAUUAAUUCAGAGUAAGAUUUCAGUACUGAGAAACUCUGGGUAUACAGAGAAUUGAGUACAGAGUUCACAGCAGUAUCUUGUCUAUUCAUUCAAAGGAUGUCGAAUUGUCUAUAGGGUAAAGCCGAAUAUCAAAUGUAUUCAUGAUUAUUAUUGUCAGUGAUGACAAUGGGAAGAAAAUGAGAAAAGGCUGUUAUGAAUUUCGUAUCGGGAUGUCUCUCAUUUCCAGGAAAAAUGAGAGAUGCAAGUUGAAUUGUGAAAGAUUGAUGAUGGAAGUCUGCAUGAUUAUUUUAGUAUGUACAGAUAUAUUAUUCAACAGAUGUGACUGAGUUGUAUGUUUCUGAGUUUAUAGUUCCAAGAAUGUCAGUCUCCAGUGUUUCAAAUUGAGCUUUGAGGUUUAUACCUCAACUAUGGAAAAGCUAUAAGAAAUCUUGAGUAUGAGCUUGUGCGGAGUUGUUUUGUAAGUUGUGAGAAAAAGAUAUAAGUGACUCGUGAAAGUAGAGAACAACUUUUUCUGGUAAGAUUUUCGGGGACGAAAAUCCUUAAAGGGGGGAAGAAAUGUAACAACCCGAUUUUGGGCCUAGUCGGAACAGUGGUUUCGGGACCACUAUUCCGAGGCCAGAGAAAAUUAUUUUAGUAUUAUUUUAUGUGUUAUAAUAUGAUUUUAUAAGUGCAUGUUAAUUUUGGUAUAUUAAUUUUAGCGAUUUCUAGUCCAAUUUCGAAAAAGGACUAAAUCGCGUAAAAAGUAAAAGUUGUGUUUUAAUACCUAAAGGUGUUAAAUUGCCUUGUAUCUUAAAUUGGGGUCUUUAAAGUGAAAUUAGGUCAUUGAAAGUGUGAUGGCCGGCCAUGGGAGACAAAAUAGUUGAAAAGUCAAAAUUAGACAAAAUAGUUUUGUUAUUAACAAAUAAAAAAAAGAAAAAAGAAAAAGCUAUCAUUUUUCUCUCCCCCUUCACCGAAAUAUGCAGCAAAGAAAGGGUUUUGAAGCUGGAAAAUUUCAGCAACAUAUUUCCCUUGCUUGUAAGUGAUUUUAAUGUCUUUGCUUGAUGAUUUUUGAAUUUUUGGAACCCCUAAAGCAUAAGCUUUCAUAAGAGGGGAUCAUUUUGCAAAAUGAUGAAGAGUCUAGGGUUUUACCAUGAGAGUAAAUGUGUUGUUUGCUGUGUUUUUAUGGAAUAUUAUGAGUCCUAGUUGUCUAAUAAACAACUUUUGUGAAAGAAAUUGCAUGAAAAUACCUUAAAAAGGGCUAAAUUGCUAAGUUGUAAAAUGAGUUGUAAAUGUGUAAAAUAGUUGAAAUUAUGAGUUGCUAUAGUUAUGAAAAUGGUUCAUCUAGACUCAAGGAGUAAAUAAAUGUGAUAAAAAUUAAUUUACGAGCAUUGGGGUAAAAGUACAAAUAUGCAAAAGUUUAGGGGUCAAAAUGAAAAUUUGUAAAAAUAUGAUUUUUAGACCCAUAUGAAUAUUGUGACUGAUUGGUAGGCUAAAUGUGAUGUUAUAGAUGAUGAAAAUUGAGACUUGGACCUAGAACGGAAAGAAAUCGAUUUAUGGACGAGUAUGUCCUUUUCACCUUUGUGGUAUUGAGGUAAGUUCGUAUGUAAACAAUACCAUGCUAUACAUGUAUUUAAAUGUUAUCAUUACAUGAAUUGUACAGAUAUUAAGGUGUAUGUGAUUAAUAGAAAUAUGAUAAGACAAAGCCUUAAUAGACGAGGAAAAAUCCCGUUUGAACCUUAGGAAUAGAAUAGGAUACGAGUGACAUGUCACUAGGAAUUUUAAGUCUAGAUGACUAGCUCGAGAGUGAGCAUUGAAAUGUCAUGAGAUAUGAGGUAGCUUUAGCUACAAUUGAGGCACUUAUGUGCAAAGGCUUUUCCGAGUAUCCAAUUAGUAUUCCAAGUGUUCAACGGGCAAUCCAAGGAAAGAGUUGAUGAUGGUCCCAAUGAGGUAAGUCAUUGGUGAGUAUGCACUCGAGUUAUGUUACGAGUUUUGCAAGUAUGUAUACUAAUCCUAUGAGAAUGCCUUGAUAUGUGAUGAUCUAUGAUGCAUAAUAUGUGUUCUUACCAUGAUGGAUAAAAUGGUGUUGUAUUAAUAUUAUGAACGAUGACCAUGAAUGAGUAACUUAGCCUUGACAGAUUUGAGUUAUUGCAGUAGUGUAACUUUGAAAAUACACUAAAAAUAGUGGAAAAUGAGUUAGAGGCAGAAUAAAAUAUGGGAUUAAAGAUUAAUGAGUCUAUUUUCACAUGAAAGAAAUAGAGGAAGAAAAAUAAUUCUAUAUUGUGUGAUAUUUAAAUUCUUGUGAAACAGGGUCUGAAUGAAUUUGAGAUCCCUUGUUUUGAUUUUAUAAAUUCACCGUAAAUUGUACAAAAAUUAUUAAGAGUCAUACCUUAACUGCAUAGAUGCCUUAUUGAGUCUAUUUUUAAGGGAAACAAACAGCAUGGUCAUUGGAAUUCUGUACAUGGAGAAAUUUGAUUCGUAGUGCACAGGGGUCAGAGUAGUCAUACCCUGAAAUAGGGGAAAAUUUAACUAAUAAAAUGUACUAAAUGGAUUUACCAAAAAUUCUAGAAAAAUAUUAGUAAGUAGAAAUAUGAGUCUAGUUUCAAGAGAAAUAGACGAGAACAUUAUUCGAAUCCUGUACUAUGAGAUAAUUGAACUUUAGUGCAGAAGGGUUGAAAUUGUCAAACAGUGAAUCAGGAGCAAACUUGAGGAAUAAAAUGUACUAAUUGGCUAAGUCAAAAAUUCUGGAAAUUUUAUGAAAGAAAGAUAAAUGAGUCUAGUUUCAGGUAAAAUUAACGGAACUUAAUUUUGAGUUUCGUAGCUCCAGAUAUAAAUAAUUUAGUGACUGUUGAGCAGGAAGACAGCUUGUAGUGAACUUGAGAAUAUGUUGUAAACAUUGAUAAAACAAGUUAAUGAGUUGCUUAUUGUUUUCAUAUGAACUUACUAAGCGAAAGCUUACCCCCUUCUUUCCCAUGUUUUCUAGAGUUUCCAGGUUAGCUCGGGUUGGAGGCCGUCAGAGAUAUUAUCACCUUAUCGAGUUAACGUUAUCGGAGUAAGUAAACUCAAGUGAUUCAAGUCUAUGGCAUGUAUAGGGUUUUAAUGUGAGUAUGUAAUAUUAUGAUUUAGCCAAAGGCAUUGGCUUGUUAUUAAGGUAGUAUUAGUCAUGUAAAUUGGCCUAUGUCGGCUAAUGACGUUAUGGGCCCAUAUGAUUAUUCUUAUGCAUGUAUGUUAUUAUCUCUUGUGAUGUGGCUUACAACAUGUAUGCCUAGAGAUUGAAUUGAGAUUCAUUGAUGAGCUAGUAACUAAUGCAGGAUUAAGUGAUUGGUAAAUAGUUAAUAAUGCUUCAUGAAUGGUUUGUGAUGUAAUGAUAGUUAUGUCUAGUAUGUGGUAAUGAUAUGGGCAAAUUCUAUAAUAUUUAUUGCAUAAGAAAAUAACUUGAGCAUAACAUGUUUGUAGAUGUUUAAGAGCUCAUUUAUGCCACGUUGUAUUUUAUUGGAUAAGUAUGUAUCUAUGCAUGUGGUGUGAGAGUGACAAAAGGCUUGAUAAUUAGCCUAUUUCUGGCCACACGGCCUGAGCACAUGGGCGUGUGAAGCCUUAACGCAAGAG